CAAAUGAAUUGACGGGGCCCGCACAAGCGGAGGAACAUGUGGUUUAAUUCGAUGAUACGCGAGGAACCUUACCUGGGCUUAAAUGUAGAGUGCAUGAGGUGGAAACACUUCUUUCCUUCGGGACUCUUUGCAAGGUGCUGCAUGGUUGUCGUCAGCUCGUGCCGUGAGGUGUCGGGUUAAGUCCCAUAACGAGCGCAACCCUUAUCGUUAGUUGCCAGCGGGUAAUGCCGGGAACUCUAACGAAACUGCCGGUGUAAACCGUGAGGAAGGUGGGAUGACGUCAAAUCAGCACGGCCCUUAUGUCCAGGGCUACACACGUGUUACAAUGGCCGGUACAGAGGGCAGCUACCUGGAGACAGGAUGCGAAUCUCCAAAGCCGGUCUCAGUUCGGAUCGGAGUCUGCAACUCGACUCCGUGAAGCUGGAUUCGCUAGUAAUCGCGCAUCAGCCAUGGCGCGGUGAAUACGUUCCCGGGCCUU
rnacentral:rRNA from 1 species